GGUUCCGCGUCUGAUUAGCUAGUUGGUGGGGUAAUGGCCUACCAAGGCAACGAUCAGUAGCCGGCCUGAGAGGGUGAACGGCCACAUUGGGACUGAGACACGGCCCAAACUCCUACGGAAGGCAGCAG
rnacentral:rRNA from 1 species